rnacentral:rRNA from 1 species
AACGAACGCUGGCGGCAUGCCUAACACAUGCAAGUCGAACGAACCCUUCGGGGUUAGUGGCGCACGGGUGCGUAACGCGUGGGAAUCUGCCCUUUGCUUCGGAAUAACUCAGGGAAACUUGUGCUAAUACCGGAUGAUGUCUUCGGACCAAAGAUUUAUCGGCAAGGGAUGAGCCCGCGUAGGAUUAGGUAGUUGGUGGGGUAAAGGCCUACCAAGCCGACGAUCCUUAGCUGGUCUGAGAGGAUGAUCAGCCACACUGGGACUGGGACACGGCCCAGACCCCACGGGAGGGCAGCAGGGGGGAAUAUGGAAAAAGGGGCGCAAGCCUGAUCCAGCAAGGCCGGGGGAGUGAGGAAGGCCCUGGGGUGGAAAAGCUCUUUUCCCAGGGAUGAUAAGGACGGAACCUGGAAAAGAAGCCCCGGCAACCCCCGG